UCCGCAAACCGACACAGGUGGGCAGGAUGAGAAUUCUAAGGCGCUUGAGAGAACUCAGGAGAAGGAACUCGGCAAAUUAGCACCGUAACUUCGGGAGAAGGUGCGCCCUGGUAGCGUGAAAGCCCUCGCGGCUGGAGCGUGAAAGGGUUGCAGUGAAAUGGUGGCUGCGACUGUUUAAUAAAAACACAGCACUCUGCAAACACGAAAGUGGACGUAUAGGGUGUGACGCCUGCCCGGUGCCGGAAGGUUAAGUGAUGGGGUGCAAGCUCUUGAUCGAAGCCCCGGUAAACGGCGGCCGUAACAAUAACGGUCCUAAGGUAGCGAAAUUCCUUGUCGGGUAAGUUCCGACCUGCACGAAUGGCGUAACGAUGGCCACACUGUCUCCUCCUGAGACUCAGCGAAGUUGAAAUGUUUGUGAAGAUGCAAUCUCCCCGCGGCAAGACGGAAAGACCCCAUGAACCUUUACUGUAGCUUUGCAUUGGACUUUGAACCGGUCUGUGUAGGAUAGGUGGGAGGCUUUGAAGCUGGGACGCUAGUUCUGGUGGAGCCAACCUUGAAAUACCACCCUGGUUUGUUUGAGGUUCUAACCAUGGCCCGUGAAUCCGGGUCUGGGACCGUGCAUGGUAGGCAGUUUGACUGGGGCGGUCUCCUCCCAAAGUGUAACGGAGGAGUACGAAGGUACGCUAGGUACGGUCGGACAUCGUGCUAAUAGUGCAAUGGCAUAAGCGUGCUUGACUGCGAGACCCACAAGUCGAGCAGGUACGAAAGUAGGUCAUAGUGAUCCGGUGGUUCUGUAUGGAAGGGCCAUCGCUCAACGGAUAAAAGGUACUCUGGGGAUAACAGGCUGAUACCGCCCAAGAGUUCAUAUCGACGGCGGUGUUUGGCACCUCGAUGUCGGCUCAUCACAUCCUGGGGCUGUAGCCGGUCCCAAGGGUAUGGCUGUUCGCCAUUUAAAGUGGUACGUGAGCUGGGUUUAAAACGUCGUGAGACAGUUUGGUCCCUAUCUGCCGUGGGCGCUGGAAAUUUGAAGGGACCUGCUCCUAGUACGAGAGGACCGGAGUGGACGAACCUCUGGUGUACCGGUUAUGACGCCAGUCGUAUCGCCGGGUAGCUAAGUUCGGAAGAGAUAAACGCUGAAAGCAUCUAAGCGUGAAACUCGCCUUAAGAUAAGAUUUCCCUGGGGACUUGAUCCCCCUGAAGGGUCGUCGAAGACCACGACGUUGAUAGGCUGGGUGUGGAAGCGCAGCAAUGCGUUAAGCUAACCAGUACUAAUUGCCCGUGCGGCUUGAUAC
rnacentral:rRNA from 1 species